AACGCUAGCUACAGGCUUAACACAUGCAAGUCGAGGGGAAACGAUAUUGGAAGCUUGCUUCCGAUAGGCGUCGACCGGCGCACGGGUGAGUAACGCGUAUCCAACCUGCCCACCACUUGGGGAUAACCUUGCGAAAGUAAGACUAAUACCCAAUGACGUCUCUAGAAGACAUCUGAAAGAGAUUAAAGAUUUAUCGGUGAUGGAUGGGGAUGCGUCUGAUUAGCUUGUUGGCGGGGUAACGGCCCACCAAGGCGACGAUCAGUAGGGGUUCUGAGAGGAAGGUCCCCCACAUUGGAACUGAGACACGGUCCAAACUCCUACGGGAGGCAGCAGUGAGGAAUAUUGGUCAAUGGACGAGAGUCUGAACCAGCCAAGUAGCGUGCAGGAAGACGGCCCUAUGGGUUGUAAACUGCUUUUAUAAGGGAAUAAAGUGAGUCUCGUGAGACUUUUUGCAUGUACCUUAUGAAUAAGGACCGGCUAAUUCCGUGCCAGCAGCCGCGGUAAUACGGAAGGUCCGGGCGUUAUCCGGAUUUAUUGGGUUUAAAGGGAGCGUAGGCCGGAGAUUAAGCGUGUUGUGAAAUGUAGACGCUCAACGUCUGCACUGCAGCGCGAACUGGUUUCCUUGAGUACGCACAAAGUGGGCGGAAUUCGUGGUGUAGCGGUGAAAUGCUUAGAUAUCACGAAGAACUCCGAUUG
rnacentral:rRNA from 2 species